UGAAUUGAUUGAGAGAUGUGAUGUUGCGAAGGGAAGGGGGAAGGGAAUUCCAGAGCAAGAUAGCAGAGCAACUGAAAGCUCUGCUCCCCAUGGUAACGAGACGGGCAGGGGAGACGGAGAGGUGGUUGUGAUGUUGAUUAAUGUUAUUGCCUUGCUCCACUGAAUGCCUUUGUCAUUCCCAUUCUCUCGUAGGGCCACUACUGUCCAGAAGGCUCUGCCCUGGCCUUGCCUUGUCCCACUGGAGAGUAUCAGCCGAACCCCGGCUCAGAAAGCUGCAUCCCAUGCCGUCCCGGGUUUUACUGUGAAGAGGCCAUAGUGGGAGAGCCAUGGCCCUGCCCGCCACAUUCCUUCUGCCCCGCAGGCACAAUGGUGCCUCAGCCGUGCCCUAAUGGGACAUACACUCAUUCAAACCAAGGAGGGCUACAAGAAGAGAGAGAGUGUUUACCCUGCCCUCCAGGGAAGUUCUGCAGGGCCGGUAGGAUUCAGGGUGUGUGUGCUGCUGGAUAUCUUUGUGUUUCUGGGAGUGCAGAUUUCACCCCUCAGGGACCAAAGUCUAAUCUGACCCAGUGCC